CAGUAGCCGCGGUAAUACAGAGGGUGCGAGCGUUAAUCGGAUUUACUGGGCGUAAAGCGUGCGUAGGCGGCUUCUUAAGUCGGAUGUGAAAUCCCUGAGCUUAACUUAGGAAUUGCAUUCGAUACUGGGAAGCUAGAGUAUGGGAGAGGAUGGUAGAAUUCCAGGUGUAGCGGUGAAAUGCGUAGAGAUCUGGAGGAAUACCGAUGGCGAAGGCAGCCAUCUGGCCUAAUACUGACGCUGAGGUACGAAAGCAUGGGGAGCAAACAGGAUUAGAUACCCAUGUAGUCCCUGUCUCUUAUAC
rnacentral:rRNA from 1 species